GUCCACGUAAUUUAUUCAACAAAAUACCGGUCUUGUAAAUCGGAAAAAGGUUAUCGCCUCUUGGACU
rnacentral:tRNA from 1 species